GACGAACGCUGGCGGCGUGCUUAACACAUGCAAGUCGAACGGAAAGGCCCUGCUGUUGUGGGGUGCUCGAGUGGCGAACGGGUGAGUAACAAGUGAGUAACCUGCCCUUGACUUUGGGAUAACUUCAGGAAACUGGGGCUAAUACCGGAUAGGAGCUCCUGCUGCAUGGGGGGGGUUGGAAAGUUUCGGCGGUUGGGGAUGGACUCGCGGCUUAUCAGCUUGUUGGUGGGGUAGUGGCUUACCAAGGCUUUGACGGGUAGCCGGCCUGAGAGGGUGACCGGCAACAUUGGGCCUGAGAUACGGCCAAGCCUCCUCCGGGAGGCAGCAGGGGGGAAUAUUGCACAAGGGGCGGAAGCCUGAUGCAGCAACGCGGCGUGCGGGAUGCCGGCCUUCGGGUUGUAAACCGCUUUCGCCUGUGAGGAAGCGUGAGUGACGGUAAUGGGUAAAGAAGCACCGGCUAACUACGUG
rnacentral:rRNA from 1 species